UGGACCAGCGAUGACCACUGGUGGGGUCUGAGUCAUGGACGAUGAAUAGUGUAUGUCUGGAACUCAGAGGUCCUA
ensembl:snoRNA small nucleolar RNA SNORD113/SNORD114 family